UACGUAGGCGGAAUAUUAAGUCAGUGGUGAAAUCCUGCGGCUCAACCGUAGAACUGCCAUUGAUACUGAUGUUCUUGAAUAUAGUUGAGGUAGGCGGAAUGUGUAAUGUAGCGGUGAAAUGCUUAGAUAUUACACAGAGCACCGAUUGCGAAGGCAGCUUACUAAACUAUUAUUGACGCUGAUGUACGAAAGCGUGGGGAGCGAACAGGAUUAGAUACCCUGGUAGUCC
rnacentral:rRNA from 1 species